CUCCAUGCUGGUGCCGACGUAGUCGCCCCUAACGCCAGACAGCUGCUUGAAGUUUGUCUUUCUGAGAGCAGAGCAGUCUUCUUAUGGCUCGUAAGCGUGGCUUAUCGGGACGCGGUUUGCACUGUUGCAAUCUACCCGACGAGAAGCAUCAAUCAACCGCAGGCCGACUCCCGACGCAGAACAUGAGGGAGAUCGCGAGCCAACGCUUCAAUCAAUCGUCAACAUGAAGAGCUGAAUCCUUUUUUUGGGAGAUAUGUGCUAUAAAAAAGUGGUCUGUUUCUUUCCUGUUAAAGGCACUGCAGUGGAGAUGUAUUUCCAGCUUGCUUCACUUUUGUGAUGUGCGUUGUCUCGACUCUCGUGGCCAGCCUACUAGUUCCACUCCUACAUCCUGCGCCAAUCCAUCCCCAUUUUAUUCGCCUUUUUUCUUCAUUACGUGUCAAUAUUUGGCUCCACAAUCAAUGUAUUUUUUUUAAAGCUAUUAUUAGUAGUAUUGUUGUUGUUGUUAUUGCAUCUAUAUAUGAUCUUUCAUAGUUGACCUCUUUAUGUAAAUUAUAACAUAAUAGGAUACAUUUAACAGAUUCAUGUAAGUAACGGAAUACUAACAUCGUGGAUCUUAAACGACUUGAUAUGUCUCGUAUUGUAAACAGAUCUACUUCAGGGUGCUUCAAAUCCCGAAUAAAUCUAAAACU